rnacentral:rRNA from 1 species
UUCUGGUUGAUCCUGCCGGAGGUCACUGCUAUUGGGAUUCGACUAAGCCAUGCGAGUCGAGAGGGUUCGGCCCUCGGCUGACGGCUCAGUAACACGUGGAUAAUCUGCCCUAAGGUGGAGGAUAACCUCGGGAAACUGAGAAUAAUACUCUAUAGGUCUAGGAUGCUGGAAUGCACUUAAGCUGAAAACUUCGGUGCCUUAGGAUGAGUCUGCGGACUAUCAGGUUGUAGUCAGGGUAAAGACCUGACUAGCCUACGACGGAUACGGGUUGUGAGAGCAAUAACCCGGAGAUGAUAUCUGAGACACGAUAUCAGGCCCUACGGGGCGCAGCAGGCGCGAAAACUUCGCACUGCGCGAAAGCGCGACGAGGGAAUCCCAAGUGUAUGCACGUAAGUGUAUACUGUUUCUCUGUCUAAAAAGCAGAGAGAGUAAGAGCUGGGUAAGACGGGUGCCAGCCGCCGCGGUAA